GGAGAGCUGACCGAGAGGCCGAAGGUGCUCGCCUGCUAAGCGAGUAGCGGACACAAUCCGCUCCGGGGUUCAAAUCCCCGGCUCUCCGCCA
rnacentral:tRNA from 1 species